rnacentral:rRNA from 1 species
GCGGCAGGCCUAACACAUGCAAGUCGAGCGGAUGAAGGGAGCUUGCUCCUGGAUUUAGCGGCGGACGGGUGAGUAAUGCCUAGGAAUCUGCCUGGUAGUGGGGGAUAACGUUCCGAAAGGAACGCUAAUACCGCGUACGUCCUACGGGAGAAAGCAGGGGACCUUCGGGCCUUGCGCUAUCAGAUGAGCCUAGGUCGGAUUAGCUAGUUGGUGAGGUAAUGGCUCACCAAGGCGACGAUCCGUAACUGGUCUGAGAGGAUGAUCAGUCACACUGGAACUGAGACACGGUCCAGACUCCUACGGGAGGCAGCAGUGGGGAAUAUUGGACAAUGGGCGAAAGCCUGAUCCAGCCAUGCCGCGUGUGUGAAGAAGGUCUUCGGAUUGUAAAGCACUUUAAGUUGGGAGGAAGGGUUGUACGUUAAUACCGUGCAAUUUUGACGUUACCGACAGAAUAAGCACCGGCUAACUUCGUGCCAGCAGCCGCGGUAAUACGAAGGGUGCAAGCGUUAAUCGGAAUUACUGGGCGUAAAGCGCGCGUAGGUGGUUCAGUAAGUUGGAAGUGAAAUCCCCGGGCUCAACCUGGGAACUGCUUUCAAAACUGCUGAGCUAGAGUACGGUAGAGGGUAGUGGAAUUUCCUGUGUAGCGGUGAAAUGCGUAGAUAUAGGAAGGAACACCAGUGGCGAAGGCGACUACCUGGACUGAUACUGACA